GACGUAGGGGGCCAGCGUUGUUCGGAAUUACUGGGUGUAAAGGGUUCGUAGGCGGUGCGGCAAGUUGGGAGUGAAAUCUCUGGGCUUAACCCAGAGGCUGCUUCCAAAAACUGCUGUGCUUGAGUGUGGGAGAGGCGCGUGGAAUUGCAGGUGUAGCGGUGAAAUGCGUAGAUAUCAGGAGGAACACCAAUGGCGAAGGCAGCACUCUGGGGACGUGACUGACGCUGAGACGCGAAAGCGUGGGGAGCAAACAGG
rnacentral:rRNA from 1 species